rnacentral:tRNA from 1 species
GCACCUGUGGUCUAGUGGUAGAAUAGUACCAUGCCACGGUAUAGACCCGGGUUUGAUUCCCGGCUAGUGCA